rnacentral:rRNA from 1 species
UACGUAGGGUGCGAGCGUUAAUCGGAAUUACUGGGCGUAAAGCGUGCGCAGGCGGUUCUCCAAGUCCGUUGUGAAAGCCCCGGGCUCAACCUGGGAAUGGCAGUGGAAACUAGGGGACUGGAAUCUGGCAGAGGGGGGCGGAAUUCCACGUGUAGCAGUGAAAUGCGUAGAGAUGUGGAGGAACACCGAUGGCGAAGGCAGCCCCCUGGGCCAAGAUUGACGCUCAUGCACGAAAGCGUGGGGAGCAAACAGG